UUUCAGAACUCGGCAAAAGUUUCUGAACAUGGAUUGGUGGACGAUCAGAAAACACAAGUGAGCCUAGAGGUUCCAUCAUGGGUGUGUCAGUGAUUGAGACCAAGGAACUGAUUGAAUGCAUCCGACUAUCAGUUUUUCCGGAUAAACACUGGCUUAACACGGAGAUUUUUUAACUCACCUGAUAUAUAGGAAGGAUAACCGUUGUAAUGAAUGGAUUCCUGAACUGCUGACGUACCGGUCGAAGGGGGGUUGAAAGCUAGUUUCGGAUGAUGAGAAGACAUGCAAUUAGAAGGCCAUGUUCCGGAUUCCUUGUUACAUAAACUGAUUCCCGUGUUGUAAUUUGAAGAGUAACCUUAAAUAAUUCAAAUGUAUUUAAAUUUUAAAUUGCUUUGAAAUUCUUUUAUAGUAGCACAAAUAAAUUAUUCAAUACGUGUGAUUCAAAUACGCACGCCUUUGACUUAUGGCUCAUUCUUAUUGACGCGUUUUAGGCCGAGGAACUAUGGAGAUAAUAAAGCCUCCAGCAUACUACGGUACAUCUUUAAGAAAACGAGGAGAGAUAUGGAAAUCCUAUGUGCACGCGGAGAGUUCUCUAUUACUGAAUAUUGUUCCACACACUCCAAUGUUCUGUGUGUGCUCAUGGAAUUUUAGUCUGAGAAUUGUUUGGUCUUGGGGUUGCGCUCCAAUAGAAAUCUGUUUACCGGACAACAUUUAGCUCCUAUCGUAUUGAACAGCCUCUUUAUAAUAACCGUAAAAUGUGCUACCCAUCGCCGGCUAAAAACCCACCACUUUAGACAGUCGAUGGAUGUGUGGCAAAAAGGGCAAGAGGAAAUGGGAGGAAGA